UACGUAGGUGGCAAGCGUUGUCCGGAGUUACUGGGUGUAAAGGGCGUGUAGGCGGGAUUGUAAGUCAGAUGUGAAAUUCCAUGGCUCAACUGUGGCGCUGCAUCUGAAACUAUAAUUCUUGAGUGAUGGAGAGGAAAGCGGAAUUCCUAGUGUAGCGGUGAAAUGCGUAGAUAUUAGGAGGAACACCAGUGGCGAAGGCGGCUUUCUGGACAUUAACUGACGCUGAGGCGCGAAAGCGUGGGGAG
rnacentral:rRNA from 1 species